CGCCCCCAAAUCCAGGUCUGCCCGGAUUCGUCCUUCAAAUAACCUGACUGAUAAUUCAAUUCUCGUGAACAGAUGACCAACUUUCUUUUUCUUCCAUUUUCUUCCAGAAUGAACGGGCAGUGUCUUGACAUUUUUUUUCAAAUACCCCAUCCAUGCUUAUAUGUGAAUCUUUUAUCAGUAUCUCGUUGACUAUUUUCUAUCUCAAUAAAUCUUUCCUGCAAUUGGCCCACGUCAUUAUCCAUGAAGACCAAAAAUAUUAAUUUAGCAUUUAUUCAUUUUUAAUUAUUUUAUUCUUAGUUAAUAAUUACCUGAAUUCUUCAUUUCUGCAAUUGACUAUUUUCGUGAUCUACCUUGUCAAAUUAUAUAUAUAUAUAUAUAUAUAUAUAUAUAUACAUAUAUAUAUAUAUUGGGUUUUACCACUUUUAUCUACUGUUCAUGACGGAUUACUAUUCAUGCCGGAGUACUAUUCAUGACAGAAGUUAAUUUUUCUUGUCCAAAUUUGCCCAAAUCAUUAAUAUUAAUCAUAUUGAUUUUAACAUUAAACAUUUAUUUAUUUAACUUUUCUCCCUUAUUUUGUAAUUUCAAAUGCUCAAAUUAGGAUUCCUAGUUCUUAUAUUCUAGGAUUUUCUUUCCCGUUUUCGCUAAAAGUUUAUGUUCUUAUGCAUGAUUUUUGCUGCAUUAACACAUCAUAUAUUAUUUUACUAUGUUGUGAGGAAUGUAUCAACAUCAUAUAAAAUAUAUAAAAAAGAAUACUUAAAACAUACCUUCUAAUUUUGUUUUUCUACGUUUUUCCCAUUUUUUCUUGUUCUGCUAAUGUUCAGCUGUGGCCUCCUCUUCAUUUUUCUUUCUCACGCCUCUUCUCCCACUCUUAUUUCUGACUUCCCUCUUUUUCCUUCUUUUAGGAAUAUAUAUAUAUAUAUAUAUAUAUAUAUAUAUAUAUAUAUAUAUAUAUAUCUUUACUAGGAGAAUAAGUAGGGAGAAGGGUACGUGUAUAUCUAUAUAUAUAUAUAAUUUAUAUAUAAAUCACUUACCUAGCAUUCAUUUAAUAAGUAGGGAAUGCAGGUGACUCUAUGUAACUCCGUUAGAAGAAGAAUAGGUAGAUGAUACCUAUUUCCCAUGUGAACCUUCAACUAAAAU
rnacentral:lncRNA from 1 species